GGCUGCCCCCGCCGGGCCGGGCGGGAUGAGGCGAGGCGGGGCAUGAAAUGGUGGCCGCCCGGCAGUAACGCCUCCUGCGCCGCUCCUCGGGGGCUGGCUGCGCUGCCUCCGCCUCCGGGUGUCCCGCUGCCGGCGCGGCGGUGGCUCGGGGUGCCUAGCAGCGCCCAGAAAAAGCCCGUGUUUCAGGCGGUGUUUUGCCGUGUGGGAGAUGCGCUGCGGGGCGCGCAGGGCUGCAAACGAGGGGAGGAGAUGCGCUGAGCGCUCAGCUAGCUACGGGGUUAAUGCUACCGGGGGGAAAGUUAGUUGGUAGCUGCAAACGGGGCCGCCAGUAAGGAGAAGGCGUUAGUUGCUCCUUCGGGGCGGCAGAGGUACAGUUCAUAGGCUUUAGCAAGGGAGGGCGUUGGUGGGGGGAGAAGAGCCGCCCUACGCUGCACAGCCGGUGCCCCCAGCCGCUGGUGUCCGGCGCGAUUAGGUUUUGCUGGAAGGAAACGUGAGAGCAACCUGCGUGUGCUUAUGGUGGCUCAUGGGUUUCCUCAGAGUCCGGCCAUGUGCUGACACUCGAGCAAGCAGGUCUCUAUUGUACCUAAUUCAAGAAGAAAAAUCUUGUUUAAAAUGGCAACUUAAACGUUCACCUUCAGUUUCCUCUCUGUGACGUGCGAAUAGAUUUCAGAGAGACUGAUGCACCUACAAAUAUGUACAGACAACUGACAGAAGGCACUAUUUCCAGUUGCACUUCCUCAGUCGCACAGGGACUUGUGUCAGCACCUAGGGAUGACUUGCAGAAUCUGGACCCUUGUUCGGAAGAAGAGUUUCUGUGAGAUUGGGUUGUAGUAAACUGAUGCUUAACCUUUUUUACUUGCCUAUGUGAUAGUGCAUAUGUGAAACAGCAGUUACAGUGACUCACUGCUGGGAAUAAGUUACAACUGUAAAUCAAAGGAGAAGAGCACAAGGUGCAACCAGUUACACAUUGCAGGCAAAGCCUGCAACUGUUCUAUCAGCUACUUCUUCCCACUUGGUUUCCACCUCUCAUUUAUUUCUUUGUGAUUUUUUUGAAAUAUUCAUCUGAGCUAAGCUGCCUGCUAAACCUUAUGCUUCUGGACUUUCCAUUUCAGGUAGUCUCAUUCUAUAAGAUGUGGAACUCUGUCGCUCCUGAAGCGAUGCUGAUGAAUUUCCAACUACAGUACUUAACGAGGAAGUAAAGUAGACUGUUUCGGUUAGUGAGAGAUUCCUAUGAAGAAUUUCCAACUGAUGCUUGGCUGUGACACCGUGGUGGCUCCCACCCCUGAGAACAGGGAGCAAGACUGGAGGGCAAGAACGCCUUGCUGUUCGUUUUUGUGGCCACCGGGUGUCAUUCUAGGAGCAGACUUCAGCCAGCCCGGGAGCACCACUAUGGCAGCAGCAUUGGAGGUGUCGGGCACCCUUAGGAAAAUGAGGUGCAUCUGGAAACAUUCAAAAGCGAAUAUUCAGACAAAAACUUUGAAGGGGAGAGCUGAGGACUAAGGCAUUUCAGUACGUUCCGAUCAGCAGCAUGAACCACAAACUGUGUCCAGCAAUUGGUGAGUGGCAGAUGCCCAAAUACCAUGUAUUUCAUCUCCUUUCAAUAUCCUUGACUCAUGCAUCCUGUCUGAGCUAAUGUUAGUUUCCUGAUUGCAGUGUGUCUGCACCCUUGGACUCUCAGCAAGGGCCUGAGCCAUCCCAGAAAGCUCACUGUUCCUCUCUAGAUUUCAGCUUCAAUGUGCUUUUAGCAACUGUCUCUCAAAGCUACCUUUUUAUGCCAGUUCACAUCUGGAAUCUCUGGUUUUACACUGGUAUAUCACUCCCCUGCUUUUCUUCUGAUUGUAAAAUGAUUUUAGACCACCACAUAAAAAUACCAUUCAAUUAUGACUUUAUUUGACCUCUAAGAAGAAAAUGAGCUACCACCACCACCAGUUACACUCAUCAUACUGCAUUACAUUAUCCUGCUUGAACAAAAUGCCCCCAAAACAGAUCUGAGCCAGAAUAGACCCAUUACUUGUUUGUAAGGUACUUGUGUCUUUAUUUCCUUGAUACUGUGAAGUUGUCCUCUCCAAAUUGCUGUCAUGUUCUAGAUACUAUAGCAGUGAUUUCACAUUGCUUAAGAUCAUUUGUAUUUCUAUGAGCAAGAAGGUAAAGUAUGAAGUGCAGUGAGGGCUAGUCCAAGGUGCUGAGCUUUGACAGUAAAAGGAUGCCUAUUAGAACAGAAGGAAAAAAAAGAGUAGGUCUAUUUUUAGCUCUGAUUCACGAAUAUCAGCCAGCAGCAGAAGAGAAAAGAACAGAGUUGGCAGGUAGCAAAUUUUCAUGAGCAAGUACUCUAGCUGUGAUUAAAGCACAAUGAAUUGCAGUUCUGUUGCAAAGACAUUAAUAGCAUUAACUAGGGAUGCAAAACAGUUGUCUUUUUUCCUCCUUUUAAGCCAUACAGUUAAUACAAAACUCAAAUUAGGGUCAUUGCCUUUAUUUUUACAUGCCACAGCAACAGGCCAAGUAAAAAUACAUGACAGGUUGGUACAAAUGCAUUAUUAAACUACUAAUUUCAAACUUCAAUUGGGUUCACUUCCACGUUCAGUUAUUUACCAUAAAGCCCUUUUUCCUUACUAUUAAAAUCAGUAUUUCCUUACCAUCAAAAAUAUUUCUCUCCAGAUGUUGUGACAGGGCAGUAUUCUUACCUCUAUUUUACAGAAGAAGGAACCAAGAGACAAGGACCAUACAGGAAGUCUGUGGCCCAGCCAAGACUCAAAGUCUCCUGAGACUCAUUCCAACACUUUCACCACAAAGUCAAGCACUUUCUCCUCCGUAGCCUUUUGAUCUUUCCAUCAUGAAUGACUAAGCUAUAAAGACUCUUUGUCUAAAGAGCAGGCUUUAAGAACAAAAACACACUUAAGAUUAUUUGCACAAACUAAUCAAACAAGUUUUUUAAGCAACACUUGAGUCUUACCCAAUUCCAACUAGGUACUGAAAGUGUGCAAGCUUAUAUGGAACUAUAGGCACCUAAUGUUGUAAACACGUUCAAAAGUUUUAACAAAUAUGAACUCGAGGCCAAUGAACCGUGUUCAAACAGCCCACAAAGAAACAUACCACAGAGCCAUCUUUAGUCUUUAAAAGAUCAAUGCAUAUACAUUAUUUGGGCAAUAAGCAAGAAGUCUACAGGGUCCCGAUUCAAAUUUAUUUGCUUAAGUAAUGGACUAUUAAUCUAAGCAAUAAUUACCUCAAUAAUUAAGUGGGUGGGGGGCAGUGUCUCACUUUAAACCACGACAGCGAGGGAAGAAAUAGUAACAAUCAUAGCAGCAGCUGCAUACUCUAACAUUUUGAGUAGGAAAUUUACUUAACCUGAGGUGACAGAUACAGGUUGGUUGGUCAGUUGUUUGUUUAAAUCAAGAAUAAUGCUAUUAUCCUAAGGUGGUGUCUACACAAAACAAACACAUUCAAAAGAUGAGGAACCUGAAGGGUAAAUGUGAAGGUAGGAAGCAGUGAAGCAGGAAGAGGGAUUCAAACAUCAAAGAUCAUGUUUUGUAAGGUAUAAGUCAUAAACUGCUGUCCUCCUGGUUGGGAAAGAAACCGAUCAUAUUUUCCUCCUUCCAUGGGCUAUUUCUACUGAUUACUCACAGUGUUUAUUCUACCUGCCAAUGGGCUGUGAAGGCAUUACUCACUCUACCACCAGGCAGAGUGGCCAUACACAGAGCAGAGUCCUGCUGCAAAGUUCUGUUUGAACAAGACUUUCUCUUCUGCACCAAAGAAACCCAGUAGUAAUGCUACGGUUGAGACAUUCAAAGCUUGUAAUAGCCAUCUGUGAUGACCAUGAUAUGUAGCUCUUCCUCAGUUCUGUUUUUAAGUGCUGGGAAUUCUCUUUUAUUUCUGAAACAAUAAAAUCACCUUUCAAAUAAUACCAUUUGUUUCUGAUUGCACUCCUUUUAUAAAAUACAAAAUUACUGAUGAAGCAGUCCAGUUUACCGUAAUGCAGUUCAACACUGAAGCAACAUUGAGCAAAGAUGGUAAGUAUCACAACCCUGUUCACCCCAAGAAAUUGCAUAGGGUGUGCAAUGCAUAUCUGAUUUGUACUGUGGUUUUCAUACUCCGCUGUUGAAAAUUUACAGUAAAAAAACAAAUUAGUAAUUUUAAUUCUGAUUUUAAAUUGUUCAGAAAAGUCUAUACUGGAAUCCAUGCUGUGCAUCUGAAAUAUUCAGAUGGAGUUUAAUUGCCCACUUACUUUGUGAAAGGAAAGGAUAUCUCAUAGCCCCCUUGAUAGCUGAAAGGAAGCUAUCAAAGAUAUAGAAGAAAGAUUUCAUUGUAUUCCUCCCAGUAUUUUUAAACUUCCCUAUUCUUGAACCAAAGCAUAGACUUCUCUUGAUUAUCCGCUCAGACCAUUUAUAAUGAAUGUGUGCAGAUUAGGAGAAGAAAUCUCUUCUUCCCGGCUCUGCAAGCACUGAUCACAAUAGCAGUCACUAAGACCCAUAAUUUUCAGCUUCAUUCCCAAAGUUUUGCCAAGUUAUAUUUAACAGAUCUCAUAGUUAUACACAGCAGAAGUUGAUCCUCUCUCCUCUGAAGUGAACGCAGCAUCGAAGGGGAAGAACAGGGGGUAAGGAGUCGUCCCAAAAAUAAACCCUUUAAAAAAAAAAUCUGAUUUCUUAGCUUAACUGAGAAGUAACUAAACACUAGGUUUUAUAUAAAACUGCUUUAACAUAGGUGUGACUAUCUACGCAUCUUAUUGUAUAGGUUUAAGAAGAAUGGUGUGAUACCAAACUGGGUAUGUAUUCCAUAGGAAUGAAAUAUUUUGCCUAUGAUUUGUUGGGUUGUUUAGGGGUGGGGUGUUUUUUGUUUCUAUUGACUGCAGUCUUUGAAAACCACUGCUACGCAACCUUGAUAACGAUUAACCAAAUAUUUACUGAAAUAUCUGUUCAAAGAAUGCCCUUUGGAUGUCAGAGUGUUUUGAAGUAAGUAUUCUGCGAUUAAGAACAACAAAAUUUUAGUUCUUGGCCAUAUUAGGCAUUCAGUCAUAUUACAUCUCAUCAAGGGUCAAUAGUUUCUCUUUGGAAACUGUUCAUAGCUCUUUGUAGAGUUUUCCAGGACUUGAGUUGCAAUGGUAUUAUAUGGAUAUUUCUCCAUAUAAAAUGUGGUUGAAAUAUUGAAACUAGCUGAAAACCUGAAUCAAAUCUUCUGCUGUUGCAAAUGCAAAGCGACAGAAGUGUGACAUUUUGCAUCAUCUGAACUCACACCUGAUAUUAUUCUGAAACAGUCUGACUAUUAGUACUUAUUAUAGUUAUUUGUAUUACCACUAGCAUUUAUAGGUAUGUUUUACAUCACAUUUAUCAGAGAACGCAACUGUACAAAGAUGCAGAAUGCCCACAUUCAUCAUAUUCAAAAAGCUUACAGUAUCUAUUUCUGUGGGUGCUUAUGAAAUAUUUAUUUACUGCUGCACACAGCUGAUCUGGUUGUUGUUAGCUAGUCAUAUUGAUAAAGUUAUGAGAAACUAGUGGCAGUAGCAUACAUAAGACUGAGAGAAGCUUACUGGUUUAUGUAUUCAUGUGAUACUCUGUGCAGCUCUUGUUUACUCAGUAAAAGCCAAAACAUGCCUCAAUACAAACUGCUGUUUUCAACUCAGUCCCAAGAAUGUAAAGAAUUUAAUUUUUAAGAUUUAUAUGUCUUUCUUGUCCACAGGGAGCUGGAGCCCUAGCAGUCUAUCACUCUGAAUUCCAGGAUUGCUCUCCUAUUAUCUUAUGAAUAACACUCUCAGCCACAACACUGAUUUUUUUUUUUUUUUUCCAUAUUUCUUCUUUAUUUUUCUAUGGCAAGAAGCUCACAAAUACUUGUAAUUAAUUACCUACUGCAUUAAGAAUGAAACUAUAUCUGUUUAAGAGAAAACAGCAUGUUUAAAUCAAGUUAUAUUUUAUAAUAAUGUGGGGGGGGGGGCGGGACCACAAAAAAACCCCACCAAACAUGAACAGGUUUGAGACAACAGAAGUUGAUAGACUAACCUGUGGUUGGUGUCUGAUAUACGUUCUCCAUAUAAAAACAAAAAGUCUACAUGUAAAGUUGGUAAAGCCAUACCAAUAACUAUCUCCCGGAGGAAUAAAAUAAAAAGUGUGUUUAUGAUUCUAUAGCAAAUGGGACUUCUUGGCAAAUGGAGAUGAGGAAAUCUUAAAAAAAAAAAAAAUGCGGCAAAAUAUUUACUAUUAUAUUUCAAGCUAGACAAGGGACGACUGCAAAUUCAAGUGCCUUCAUCACAUCACAUUUUACUAAAGCUAUAUCCUGGUUGAUCAUGCAUAAACACUUUGCAGCAGUACUUAAAAGCCUGAACUGAACAGCUCACCACAGUGCCUGGAAUUUUAGUCACAUCAGCAGAGUUUGGAUCUUCAUUACCUGUCCACACAUUAUGCUGCAGGACAGUGAUGAUCUCUUCCGAUCUGCUGGAAGGUUUUGUAACUCUGGUGGUGAACUCAGUUCAGGCUUAUUUCCACCAGCGUCACUCAGGACAGAGUAUUUUCUGGUGGAGUCAAGUUAGCUUCCCAGUAGUCUCAUUUUGAGCAUUCUUCCCACUAGUCUUGAGCACCUACUCCAGUAGAGCCCCAGUCCUGUACAGAUAUGUCCUUUUUUUAUAUUCUGCUUAGUCUCACUGAAUUUGAGGAAACCUAAAUUUCUGCAGUUAUUGCCAUAUCCUCACAGCUCCUAUGUUUUACAACCAAUUCACCUAUGAUUUCAUUUUCUUCAAAGCAACAGUCAAACUUUUAAUUAGGCUAAAUAAAAUCAAUUGGGAUAGACAACAGCAAAAUGUAACAGCGUGUUUGAAUCUAAAUAGGACACUAUUUGGUCUACUGUCAAUGCUCUGAGCUAUCUGGUCUUUCAAGUCCUCUUGUCCCCCCCAAGAUUUACAAAUCACUCCAUCAGAACCUCCUUCAUUUGGGGGGGCAAGGGAGGGGAAAUAGGGGAUAAAUGUUUAGGAACUCGCCAUUGUGCAAAUUAAAUGUAUUUCACAUGAUUUGACCAUGAAUUUGGCUUGUGGAACUGAAGAGACUCCAGCUACCCCUUCCCCACAGAGUAGUGGCUUUCCUUAGCAUGUGUAUGUAUCUAAAGUUUCAGAGCUCAAGCCCCAGCUGUUCUUUGUACACAACCAAGCCAAAGUUCAUUAUUUCAAGACUUCAGUGACAUUCACUGAAUAGCCCAAAAUCCAGAAGUAAGCUCAAUUUUCAUUCACUUACUGUGAGGAAGAGACAUGAUUCAACUCACCACAGUCUAUGAGUUUUUCAAGACAGUGUGGUGAAGUUACGUAGACAACUUGGACUGAUUUUCAGUGGGGAUGAAUGCAGAACUUCCUUAGAAAGGGGUAAGCAAAGUCUGAGGGAUUGGGAAUUACCUGCUAAAUUAACCCUAUAUCUAUUCUUUCGAGGAGAAAAGCAUUAUGUUUUGCGUUUUUUUGUAGAGGUGGAUGAGAACAAAAACCUAGGUACAUUUAGAAACUUAUCCACAGUAAUCAAAGUAAUACCAAGGAUGUUCUGACCACUGCUUAUCUACUGUUUCUGUAUGAGAAGAAAUAUCAUUACAAAAGAUGGGAAAGGAAAUCUACCUCCCUUAGAAAUAGUUCUUAACCAAAUAUGUAUGUGAAAGUACUCUGUAAAUGUGAUUAGGAAACUUACGUUCUGACUUGUUAUUUAUCACUGCUAGAAUUAAGUCAUGCUUUUUUUCCUUUUAAGCCUCAAAGACACUGUCAACACCAAAAUCUUUAUGUUGCUUAAGAAAGAAUUAAACCACCUACUCACUUAAUUCAUUAUCAUUAUUUUGAAGAAUUUGAAUUUUAAUUUGAAGGCAAGCAUGGAAGCUCUUUCCCCCACCCCACCCCCCAGUCUAGUGCUGACACAAGCAAUAAAUCUGCUUCUGUUCUUUUGUAUUUCCAUUCUCAUCAAACCUCCAUAGCUCCUGGCUGUGGACUCAGAGUAAUUUGUUAUUGAAAGAUUGUUCCUUUGCUGUGCCUGAGACUUCUGUGAGGAAUCCACAUUAAUAGUUUCUGUGCAAGAACUGACCGUAAAUAGAGCGCCUAUUCUCAUUCUUAAAGACGCUGCUCUGGGCUGCAUUAUCAGAAUCUGUCUGACAAAGUCUAAACACACCUUUCAAAUGAAUAAUAUAGUCAUGCCAAAAACAUCUACAACAUUUUCCAUGGAGCUAGCUGAAUUGCUGGAUUACAAUCCUAGUAUGACAUGCCUACACAACUUGGUAAAUCUUCCAAAUAUAAUCAUGUUGGAGUUUGGGGUUUUUUUGCAACCAUAUGAUUUUUAUUUGCAGGUGAAACUGUAAAGUAAUUUACAUACAAAGCACAGAAUAUCAGCAAAUAAUAGAAACCAUAAAUUUCAAUAGAGCAAUAUCCAUUAAAAAGGAUCCUGUCCCUGUCCUCUUAGUUCAACCUACAUACUGUAAAUGAACUCAGAGCGUAACACAUUUUGAAGCAAUGGAAGUUUUAUGUACUAUCUUCUCUCAUAAUGUUGCCAGCUUCAAAUAUUCCUUAA